CAUAUAUACCGGGUAUCAGGCCACAAGGGUUUUAUGGGUAACGAAAUAGGUGAAGAGAUUACUAAAAGUGUCACCCAUCUUACUAGGGAAACUGAAGAGGAUAUACAAAAGUCGCUAAGAUCGAUCUUAAAUGAAAUUUCCGAAAAUGCACGAAGACAGAGCAGAGUGAGAGGGAACGCCUUAGCAACAUGCGAACCCACCAAGAUCAAGUGAAAGGGGAAGCAAAGAAAGCACCAACUUCAGGUUUACCAAAAAGUAGGACUUAAGCGACAACUAUGGACCCGAUGGUGACGUGGCAGUCGAAUAAGAAUAAUUUGCUAGGUGUGGUAUUCGAAUUGGACAUUUAAACAGAAGUUAAAUUCCCUCUGCUUCGUGAAUAAGGACAUUGUGGCAGACCCUCAAGGCAAAGGAGUCAUGUAAAUUCCAGGAUUUUCAAGCAACCUGGAAUCGGCAGGUUUGAAGAAUAAACGCAGCUACUCUACAGGGAAAGGCUUGAUAAUAUAGGAAAUAGAAAUAUCGAGAUUUGAGCCGAUUACUAGGAGUGCCGGUCAAAUAUCAAUUGUCAAACAUUAAACACAAUUCUCUACCGCUUUGUCGAACUCACUCAAUUUAAGAGCUUCCAUAGUGGACAACACCUGCUUCUACAAUAUAAUAAAGAAAAAAACGCCUUCUUAAGAGUGAAGGAGCGUGCACUAG